GACGAACGCUGGCGGCGUGCUUAACACAUGCAAGUCACGGGGGCUGGAGCAAUCCAGUAACCGGCGAACGGGUGCGUAACACGUGAGCAACCUGCCGUACUCAGGGGGAUAGCCGGCCCAACGGCCGGGUAAUACCGCAUACGAUUCUUCGGGGGAGUCCCCGGGGAAGGAAACCUCUGGGGGAGUACGAGGGGCUCGCGGCCUAUCAGCUAGUUGGUGCGGUAACGGCGCACCAAGGCGACGACGGGUAGCUGGUCNGAGAGGAUGGCCAGCCACAUUGGGACUGAGAGACGGCCCAGACUCCUACGGGAGGCAGCAGUGGGGAAUCUUGCGCAAUGGCCGAAAGGCUGACGCAGCGACGCCGCGUGGGGGAUGAAGCAUUUCGGUGUGUAAACCCCUGUUGCCCGGGACGAACAGCGCUUUCGAGGCGCCUGACGGUACCGGGUGAGGAAGC
rnacentral:rRNA from 1 species